rnacentral:sRNA from 1 species
CAGAAGAGGGAGAGGUUCGUCUUCCAGGCUGCACCGCGCUGGCGGCGAGCGGGUUCACAGGGAGCCGGCGGCGGUGGUACCACAGCCUGGUGAUGUCAGACACCAGGGGUUCUUUCAGAGGGGUCUCUCCAGCCCCAAGCAGGAAGCUGUUUUCCUUCUGUGUGUGCAGCCAAGGCCCCUGGAGGGGCUGAGAGUCGGGGCUGAGUCUUCCUGGGGCCAGGGCCCCCCACAAGGCCUCCGAGGAGCCCCAGAGGACCUCCCUCUCAGUGUGAAGAUCAUUCACCGAUGAAGACAGACCCAGUUGGAUCCCCUUGUCUGAAUUCAGGAGAUGUCCAUUUCUGGAGCAAGAACUGGCAAAGAAAUACUCCUGUAAUAUGAUGGCCUUCCUUGCUGACGAAUACUGCAACUAUUGUCGAGACAUUUUACGAAAUGUGAGGAACCGAGAACUUGAGAGGGUAGGGUUUUAUCUAUAAAAUACAAGCAUUUAUGACUCCUUAUUAAUCAUUUUUAUUUGAAGAGACCCCGUCAACAGAUGUCCAGUGGUAACCCACUGCACUGAAGUGCUUACAUGCUAUGUACCUAUGUUGUAGUCAUUGAGUUCUGGAAGGUGAGAUCGAUAUUCAGUGUAAUCAGUUGGAAAUUCUCCAAGGUGCUAAUACAGAUAACUUUAGGCUCUAAAUACAAAUUCAGCUAUUUUUUAGAUCCUAAUUCUGCUCAUUUUGAAUAAAGUGUUGGUAAUAAAAUUCACCCUGGAAUUUUCAGUGGUGCCGAA